GCCCUGGUAGCACAGCUGUUAAGUGCUCAGUUGCUAACUGAAAGUUUGGUAGUUCGAACCCACCCAGCGGCU
rnacentral:tRNA from 1 species